AACAAACGCUGGCGGCGUGCCUAACACAUGCAAGUCGAACGCGAAAAUCGGCUUCGGCCGAUGAGUAAAGUGGCGCACGGGUGAGUAACGCGUGGAUAAUCUACCCUUCAGUUGGGAAUAACUUAUCGAAAGGUGAGCUAAUACCGAAUAAAACUGCCUGACCACGGUCGGGUAGUCAAAGAUAGCCUCUGCUUGCAAGCUUUCGCUGAAUGAUGAGUCCGCGUACCAUUAGCUAGUUGGUGGGGUAAUGGCCUACCAAGGCGACGAUGGUUAGCUGGUCUGAGAGGAUGAUCAGCCACACUGGAACUGAGACACGGUCCAGACUCCUACGGGAGGCAGCAGUGAGGAAUCUUGCGCAAUGGGGGAAACCCUGACGCAGCAACGCCGCGUGAGUGAGGAAGGUCUUCGGAUCGUAAAGCUCUGUCGGGUGGAAGAAAUGUAUGGGGUUAAUAGCCUUCAUACUUGACGGUACCACCAAGGAAGCACCGGCUAACUCCG
rnacentral:rRNA from 1 species